rnacentral:rRNA from 1 species
ACGGGAGGCAGCAGUAAGGAAUAUUGGGCAAUGGGGGGAACCCUGACCCAGCCAUGCCGCGUGAGGGAAUGAGGCCCUACGGGUCGUGAACCUCUUUUGCCUGGGGAUAACCCCUCCCGCGCGACGGGGGGCUGCAGGUACCAGGCGAAUAAGCAUCGGCUAACUCCGUGCCAGCAGCCGCGGUAAUACGGAGGAUGCGAGCGUUAUCCGGAUUUAUUGGGUUUAAAGGGAGCGUAGGCGGAAGGUCAAGUCAGCUGUGAAAUGUAGUCGCUCAACGUCUGCACUGCAGUUGAAACUGGCCUCCUUGAGUGCGUAAGAGGCGGGCGGAAUUCGUCGUGUAGCGGUGAAAUGCUUAGAUAUGACGAAGAACUCCGAUUGCGAAGGCAGCUCGCUGGGCCGCAACUGACGCUGAAGCUCGAAGGUGCGGGUAUCAAACAGGAUUAGAUACCCUGGUA